rnacentral:piRNA from 1 species
UGUGAAAGUGCCAGGUUGAAGGAUGA